UACAGAGGUCCCAAGCGUUGUUCGGAUUCACUGGGCGUAAAGGGCGCGUAGGUGGUUGGGCAAGUCUGAUGUGAAAUCUCCGGGCUUAACCCGGAAAUGGCAUUGGAAACUGCCCGGCUAGAGUGUUGGAGGGGGGACUGGAAUUCUCGGUGUAGCAGUGAAAUGCGUAGAUAUCGAGAGGAACACCAGUGGCGAAGGCGAGUCCCUGGACAACUACUGACACUGAGGCACGAAAGCUAGGGGAGCAAACAGG
rnacentral:rRNA from 1 species